GACGAACGCUGGCGGCGUGCUUAACACAUGCAAGUCGAACGGUGAAGCGCCUUCCUUUUUGGUGGGUGUGGAUGAGUGGCGAACGGGUGAGUAACACGUGAGUAACCUGCCCCCUUCUUCUGGAUAACCGCAUGAAAGUGUGGCUAAUAUGGGAUAUUCUGGGUCUGUCGCAUGAUGGGUCUGGGAAAGAUAUUGUUUCGGUGGGGGAUGGGCUCGCGGCCUAUCAGCUUGUUGGUGGGGUGAUGGCCUACCAAGGCGGUGACGGGUAGCCGGCCUGAGAGGGUGGACGGUCACACUGGGACUGAGACACGGCCCAGACUCCUACGGGAGGCAGCAGUGGGGAAUGUUGCACAAUGGGCGCAAGCCUGAUGCAGCGACGCCGCGUGAGGGAUGGAGGCCUUCGGGUUGUGAACCUCUUUCGCCAGUGAAGCAGGCCUGCCUCGUUUGUGGGUGGGUUGACGGUAGCUGGAUAAGAAGCGCCGGCUAACUACGUG
rnacentral:rRNA from 1 species